GAUGAACGCUGGCGGCGUGCCUAAUACAUGCAAGUCGAACGCUUCACUUCGGUGAAGAGUGGCGAACGGGUGAGUAAUACAUAAGUAACCUGGCAUCUACAGGGGGAUAACUGAUGGAAACGUCAGCUAAGACCGCAUAGGUGUAGAGAUCGCAUGAACUCUAUAUGAAAAGUGCUACGGGACUGGUAGAUGAUGGACUUAUGGCGCAUUAGCUGGUUGGUAGGGUAACGGCCUACCAAGGCGACGAUGCGUAGCCGACCUGAGAGGGUGACCGGCCACACUGGGACUGAGACACGGCCCAGACUCCUACGGGAGGCAGCAGUAGGGAAUUUUCGGCAAUGGGGGAAACCCUGACCGAGCAACGCCGCGUGAAGGAAGAAGUAAUUCGUUAUGUAAACUUCUGUCAUAGAGGAAGAACGGUGGAUAUAGGGAAUGAUAUCCAAGUGACGGUACUCUAUAAGAAAGCCACGGCUAACUACGUGCCAGCAGCCGCGGUAAUACGUAGGUGGCGAGCGUUAUCCGGAAUUAUUGGGCGUAAAGAGGGAGCAGGCGGCACUAAGGGUCUGUGGUGAAAGAUCGAAGCUUAACUUUGGUAAGCCAUGGAAACCGUAGAGCUAGAGUGUGUGAGAGGAUCGUGGAAUUCCAUGUGUAGCGGUGAAAUGCGUAGAUAUAUGGAGGAACACCAGUGGCGAAGGCGACGAUCUGGCGCAUAACUGACGCUCAGUCCCGAAAGCGUGGGGAGCAAAUAGG
rnacentral:rRNA from 1 species